GGACGUUACCAGGCGCCUGCGUAUUGCCCUUUUUACUAGGUGCGUUCUGCCGGAUGCCGGUGCCAUCUUGUAAUGGAGUUUGUGAGGACAGCUCCUCACAUAUGUGAGGACAGCUCCUCGGACAGCUCCUCACAUCUCUGUGAGGACAGCUCCUCGGACAGCUCCUCACAAUACUUCAAGUCUGAUGUGUGCCUCACAAACAAUUUUGAGGACAAGAACACAUAAGUGAUUCUGAGAGGUUUGCAAGAGGCCCUAGUUCGGUCUCUGUCCACCAGGGGGUGGAGUUUCCUAACACAUGAUCAUUAUCAGUGUGAACUAUAAGUGUCAUAGGUUCAUCAUUUUGUGUCAUUCCCUCAUGUCUUCAUGUGAAGAGUUGAGAACAUCACUCUGAUGAUGAUGAACAUGAACGCUUCUCCAGCUUUAGUGACUGUGAUGCUGCUGUUCAUGCUUGGGAUGAAGAAGACCCAUGGAGACUCAGUGACCCAGAAAGAAGGUCAAGUGACCCUCUCAGAAGGGGUGAGAGGAGAUAAUGUGGAGCAGAGUCCUCCAGCCCUGAGUCUCUGUGAGGGAACCAAUCCUGCUCUGAGAUGUAAUUUUUCUACCUCCAUGAAGAGUGUGCAGUGGUUCCUACAGGAUCCCAGGGGCAGCCUCAUCAGUCUGUUCUUCCUGGCUCCAGGAACAAAGGAGAACGGGAGGUUAAAGUCAACAUUCAAUUCUAAGGAGCGCUACAGCACCCUGCACAUCAGUGGUGCCCAGCUGGAGGACUCAGGCACCUACUUCUGUGCUGCUGAGGCACAGUGCUCCCAGUGAGCCUGCAGCCUGGCCCCAAACUGCAGCUGGCUGUGCAGGACAACCCCUGCCAUGGAAGACUCUGCCUGAGGCUUUGCACAGCUGUGGCUUCAUCAGAUCUCCACAAAUCACAAAGAUGUGAGGAAACAUAAAAAUACCACUGUAGUUCUCACAUUCUGAUAUGACACUGACUUCUAGAGUGCUAAAUGCUCAGAAAUAUCAGCAUGCAUGACUAAAAUAUACCCCUUUAUUUUUCCAUGUUUGUGCUAAUGUCAUAGGAUAUGAACUUUUCUUACAUAUUGGAGAAUCAUUCAGGUCAUUUGUUAUAACUCGAAACUGUAAGCAACUGUUUUCAUCCUUUGUUUAAAGAGCACAAGACAAAACUGAGGUAAUCUGCUCAAUAUGAUGUUGAUAAAUUUAUUAAUUCAUCUAAUAAAUUACGUGGUAGAAAGGCAAGAGAAAUCUUAUUAUUAGAUCAAGACAUUAUAGAAAUGUCUUGAUAUUAUAUUAAAUAUAUAACACAUUUAAUUCUGCAGUGCAAAACAGAUAUUUUAUAUCAUAAUUAGGAGCCAAAAGAUAAAAUAAAAGUAGGAAGAUGUAUUUGCAAUUUAUGUCACAAUAACACUUGUAGCCAAUGAUUCUACCUUAUGUGCAAAACUUUUCAUUAAAACACUGCUUUCAAAAGAAAA